rnacentral:tRNA from 2 species
GGGGUGGUGGUGUAGAGGCCUAACACACCUGCCUGUCACGCAGGAGAUCGCGAGUUCGAAUCUCGUCCACCCCG